CAGGUCAGCGCGACCUGCUGACGUGGAAAGAAAUUGCGCCGUCAAGGACGCGAUUUCCUUCCACGUCAGCAGGUCGCGCUGACGUGG
rfam:Gossypium hirsutum cultivar TM-1 unplaced genomic scaffold scaffold347.1, whole genome shotgun sequence